UGAGCUCAGCAGGGCCGAUGGUUUAGCACUGUCAAAAAGACUCUUGCCUAUGAAGUAGAUAACAAAGUGUGGGCUGCCAGCCUCCUUUCCUAUAGAAAAGCUCGCUUGUUGUAACAUGUUGCUCCUGGAUUUCUUUCGCUGCGGUGGGGGGAGCUUAAAAAAAAGAAGAGACAGAAAACCUUCUGAAAGCUUUCGGCUGCCCUAUGCGGUGGGCAGAUGCUUUUGUGCUGGAGAAAUUGGGAAGGGAAAUCAAAGAAGCAGGAAGCGAUGCGGCAGGGAGGGAACUUCGGAGGCCCAGGCGAGCUCCGGUGGCGAAUUUGGAAGACUUCAAAGAGGAUUCCAGCUCAAAGGGAAGACCUAGAUAUUGAAUAGAUGCUGUAUAGUGUCGGGGGGUUCUUUCCCUCCCCAUCGUGGCCUUUGCCAAAUGAGCUAAUGCCAAAAAGGAAAGUGGACUUGGGCUAUAAAAUGAUGCUUUAGCAGAAUUUUCGCUAGCGACCUCUCGGCUGCAAACCUGUUGCCAUCCCGCCGUGUUCUCUGUCUCUUCAGACAUGUCCCCACCCGCCUGGCCAGAUUGGGAGCAUUGCAAACCAUCCUUUCUGGACUAAUUCAAGAAGAUGCAGCUUUUGACAGUCAAAGCCUGGAACAGCCUGGAUCUCAAGGAGAACUUUCUCUCCUAUAAUCUCCCGGGGCUUUUAGGAUCUACAAGUGAGACCCUAAUCAAAGUUCCUUCCUUUAGCAAGGGCGGCCAUCUUGCUUCGUUUACAACCACUGCACCUCCCAUCACUUCCAGACGAAGUCCUGUCACUUUUUAUAAGACCGUCUUUCGCCAUAUGAACCUCCUUGGACUCUGAGGUCAACCUCUGAGGCCCUUCUUCGUGUGCCUCCUCCAUGAGAGGUCCAGAAGGUGGCAACACAAGAACGGGGCCUUCUCUG